rnacentral:rRNA from 1 species
ACUCCUACGGGAGGCAGCAGUGGGGAAUAUUGCACAAUGGGCGCAAGCCUGAUGCAGCCAUGCCGCGUGUGUGAAGAAGGCCUUCGGGUUGUAAAGCACUUUCAGCGAGGAGGAAGGUGGUGAGCUUAAUACGCUCAUCAAUUGACGUAC